rnacentral:misc_RNA from 1 species
UCUCCGUUGGUGAACCAGCGGAGGGAUCAUUAUCGAGUUUAUAACUCCCAAACCCUAUGUGAACUUACCACUUGUUGCUUCGGCGCUCGCUUCGACGCCGCCGAGGACACUUAAACUCUUUGUUUUUAUAAGCAUUUCUGAGUGGCCGAAAGGCAAAAUACAAAUGAAUCAAAACUUUCAACAACGGAUCUCUUGGUUCUG